CAUACUACAAAAUAAAUAAAAGC
rnacentral:piRNA from 1 species